AAUUUUUCGAUUGGCGAAUUCCUCAAUGAACAGAGCCGAUCUACUACAGAAUAUUCACGAAACAGUUGAUGUCCCAAUAGGCUGUAAAGAAUGCGGCAUUGUGACUGGAAAAUAUGANUAUUUUCAUUAUAAAGUUGAUGGAUUUGAUGACAAGGGGUGGGGCUGUGGAUACCGUACUCUUCAAACACUAUGCUCAUGGGUAUGCAACAAUUCAGCCAAUCAAAAGAACUCUGUCCCCAAUAUAAANGAGAUACAGACUGUUCUUGUUGAGAUUCAGGACAAACCAAGUACUUUCAUUGGCUCUAAGGAGUGGAUAGGGUCCUAUGAAGUAUUCUUGGUGUUGGAUCAUCUGUAUAAUGUAAGCUGUAAGAUUAUCCACGUGUCCUCUGGUCCAGAGGUACCAGGAAAAGCACNAGAAAUUUUGCAGCAUUUUGUAGAAUAUGGAUCUCCAGUGAUGAUAGGAGGUGAUAAUGAUGCNUCAUCUAAAACCCUUCUUGGAGUUUGUCAAACAGAAAAUCAAGAUUAUUAUUUUUUAAUUGCUGAUCCCCAUUUCAUUGGCUGCGCUAAUAUUGAGAUUCUUAAGAGAGAAGGUUGGCUUCAAUGGAAGAAGUUACAAGAUGUUUUUAUGGAUGGAUCAUUUUAUAAUUUUUGUCUUCCUCUCUCCAGGGCUCCCUCUACCUUUAUCCAAGAUUGAUGUAACUUGAUGUAACGCCCAGGAAGGUUUGCCAGGUGAUGCAAUGGACAAGUUUUGCAUUCAUUUAUCGUCAUUAUACACAACCAAAAACUCUUCCAAGGGAUACCCCCAGGUGAGCUCCUGUUGCAUCACGUGAUACGUUAGAAAUCGAAAACAGACUAUUCAAGUAUUUUUUGCGAAAAUGAAAGGAAUUACUUAUUGCUCAGACAGGACUUUAAGUAUAAUCUAUUGUGCAGGCAUCUUAUCGCAAUCUUCUUACAAAGAAUUCUCAACAGCGAAUGACUUUACUUUUGCAAACAAGCUUCGUCUUCCGUGUUUUUGGAGGCAUCCGCCAUCUUGAUUCUUUUAUC
rnacentral:misc_RNA from 1 species